rnacentral:lncRNA from 1 species
UAAGAGAGGCUCACCAGCCGCAAACUUUCGACAAGUCAAUCUACUUCUUAACGAGAAUCUUGGAUUGUGUCUUGGAAUACUUAAAUAUAAGGGGUUAAUACAGAUGUACUAGUAUGCAUAUCCAAUUUCAUACCCUAUUUUUACUUGAAGGUCUAAACUAGCACGACGUUAUGGACUCUAAAAUAAUUUAAACUUAUGUACAGAGUCGCCAUCUAAUUUUAAAGAAAAAUAAGGAAACCUAUUGAAUUAUUAACAUGUAUAAUCAAUGUUUCAAUCUGUGAAAAACCAAUUGAGAUUUUAGGUAAGGGUUUAAAUUAUCUCAAAGGGAAGGGAUUAGGAACCCUUCGAGAUCCACAAUUGUGGUACCCGGCUAGACUAAAUUUAUCAAAGAAAGAGGAGGUAUAUUUAAAAUAUAUAUAAAAAUUUGUAUGUAUAUUAAGUAUAAAAUAAUUUCAUUGAAAAAUAUAAAUGUUUUUAGACUAUGUAAAGGCAUAUGUAUAUUAACUGUAUAAAUGAGAUGUAGUUAUAAAAUAUAUAAAUGUGCAUAUGAAAAGGAAGAGCUUUUUAUGAUGCAUGAAAAAAAAUGUAUUUUUUAUGGCAUGAAAAGUGAUGUAUUUACAAGCAAUAUUUUUAUUUGAUUAAAAUUAGAAAGAAAAGUAAAAUUUAUUUGAGAGAACAAUACGUGAAUUACUUAAUUAACUUGAUUCUUCUAUUAAGUAUAGUAAAAUAAUAUAUAUGUUUUAUUGUAAAAAAAAUUUAUAUUAGUAUAUGUAUGUAAAAAAUAAACUAAAUCGAAAUAAGAAAAUUUAAAAAAAAAAAAAGAAGACAAUGUAAUAUGCGAAUAUGUAAAUUAGUUGAUUAACUUAAUUGUUUUAUAUAAAUAUUAAUGGCCUAAGUCUUGCAUAAAAGCGAUGAAAAUAUGUAAAUGAAGGAUAUCCUCGCCCGAUACCCAAAAAGGAAAGUUUUUAGUAUUUUUGUUAUUUGUACAAAUGUGAGAAUAUAAAAUACAAUAUAAAAUUUAAGGACUCCUUUGACUGCAACUGCUGACGAGUAUUCCAAAAUAACCUGUAUAAAAACUUGUAAAAAAAUGUUAAUAAUAAGUAAAAAAUAAUAAAAAUAAAUUGAACAAAUAUAUCUGCAUAUGAGUAUUUAAAAAUAUAUUUUUUUGUUUAAAAGUGGACUCAGAUAAAUUCAUGACUAUGAAAUAGUUGCUAAAUUAAUUGGUCAUCCUAAAUCGUAUUAUUACGAAGUGGUUGCUUAAUUAUUGGCCGUCCUAAAUCGUCUAGCCAAAAUAUAAAUUGUAAAAUCUUAUGUUGUUAUAAAGUUUCAUCAUUGUCCAAAAUAUUUAUUUAUUAACAUAUUUGUAUACAUAAAAUCCAUCUUUUGUUUACGAACACCUCAACAUUAAUAAGAAUUUUUUCAUUGACAAAUAUCUUGUUCUUUAUCAGUCAAAUAAAUUGUAACUAACAAAAUUUAUCCAAAAUCAAUGUCUGAUAUUUUAAUAGCAGCAGACCCAGUGACAAAAUAAUAGAAACGGAGCAAACUAACAGUAAUAGCAAAAAGUAAGGAAACAUCAGCAAAAUAAAAGAAAACCCAUGGUCAAAAGUCUGGCUAGAUCUAAACAAAUUAGACAAAACAAGAAUAAUAAGAAUAUUAUCAAGCAUUAAAUAAAUAAAAGCACCAACCAAUACCGCUGCUUCGACCAUGAUGAAACGCCGGAGCAGUUGGUGGCAAAUAUACGAGCGCAAGGAGGUAUCGCCGGAGCUACUCUCGGAGGAGAAAGAACAGCGCAAUGAAGGAGAAGGGGGAGGUUGCCGUGUGAUCGAGACGAAGGGAGGCGGCAUCUGAUAGAGGCUCGCCGGUCCGACGGCCGUCGUUGGCUGCUGCUGUUGCUGGCUUGUGGUUGGUGGUUGCCGGUGUUGUGGGUUGGUGGGUGGCUACUGAAAGAUUAGAAGGAAGGGCGUGAAGGUGGUUUUAUCUUGAUUGGCAGUGGAUGUCACCGGAGUUCAGCCGUGCUCACCGGAGGAACGAGUAAAGAGGGUGGGUGUGUUCGGAGAAAGUUCUGAUUUUGUGUGUUCUAUCAGUGUGUGUACUGUGCCUUGUUGUAUAUAAGAAAAAGGAUCUCAUAUAUAGUGUAUUGUGAUUUGUGUGUAAUGUAUCCGUUUGAAAUGAAACGUUGCAAAAGUUGACAAUGCCCAAGAUUUUCUUUGAUUCAUUUUUGACUUGUGUAGCAUAAAUCAAAUUAAACAUUACUUUCUUUGUCUUGAGAUGACAUAAAGAAAAGCAAAAUUUGCCUUUUGUCUCAACAAUGUUUGAAAGAAAACACAUUCUAAAACAAACAACGAAUCUUU